AUGGAUCUUCUCCAGUUUGUGCUCAACUUUAAAGGCACACCACCAUGGCUGAACUCGACGGCCCUUACCGCCCUUACGGACCGUUGGAGGCCGGAGACGCACUCUUUUCACCUUGCUCUUGGUGAGAUGACCGUCACUUUGGAGGAUAUUGCGAUGAUCUCCGGUCUUUCGAUCGAGGGCAGGGCUCUUACCGGGAAGGUAACGUCCGAGGGGUGGCGACAAAGGGUUGCAGGUUUGGUUGGUGUUGAACCUCCCCCGUGGAUUCAUGAAACAAAGAAGGAUCCUAGGCCAUCUGGUGUUUUGUUCUCGUGGCUACAAGAACAUUUUUACGAGUGCCCAGAGAAUGCUAGUCCGGCUGUUGUGGAGAGGUACGCCAGGGCUUACUUAUGGAAUAUUUUGACCCAA
rnacentral:rRNA from 1 species